rnacentral:rRNA from 1 species
CGGCGGAUGGGUGAGUAACACGUGGGGAACCUGCCCCUAAGUCUGGGAUACCAUUUGGAAACAGGUGCUAAUACCGGAUAAUAAAGCGGAUCGCAUGAUCAGCUUUUGAAAGGCGGCGUAAGCUGUCGCUAAGGGAUGGCCCCGCGGUGCAUUAGCUAGUUGGUAAGGUAACGGCUUACCAAGGCGACGAUGCAUAGCCGAGUUGAGAGACUGAUCGGCCACAUUGGGACUGAGACACGGCCCAAACUCCUACGGGAGGCAGCAGUAGGGAAUCUUCCACAAUGGACGCAAGUCUGAUGGAGCAACGCCGCGUGAGUGAAGAAGGUUUUCGGAUCGUAAAGCUCUGUUGUUGGUGAAGAAGGAUAGAGGUAGUAACUGGCCUUUAUUUGACGGUAAUCAACCAGAAAGUCACGGCUAACUACGUGCCAGCAGCCGCGGUAAUACGUAGGUGGCAAGCGUUGUCCGGAUUUAUUGGGCGUAAAGCGAGCGCAGGCGGAAAAAUAAGUCUAAUGUGAAAGCCCUCGGCUUAACCGAGGAACUGCAUCGGAAACUGUUUUUCUUGAGUGCAGAAGAGGAGAGUGGAACUCCAUGUGUAGCGGUGGAAUGCGUAGAUAUAUGGAAGAACACCAGUGGCGAAGGCGGCUCUCUGGUCUGCAACUGACGCUGAGGCUCGAAAGCAUGGGUAGCGAACAGGAUUAGAUACCCUGGUAGUCCAUGCCGUAAACGAUGAGUGCUAAGUGUUGGGAGGUUUCCGCCCCUCAGUGCUGCAGCUAACGCAUUAAGCACUCCGCCUGGGGAGUACGAC